rnacentral:tRNA from 3 species
UGGUCCGUUGGUCAAGCGGUUAAGACACCGCCCUUUCACGGCGGUAACACGGGUUCGAAUCCCGUACGGAUCAU